AAAUUGAAGAGUUUGAUCAUGGCUCAGAUUGAACGCUGGCGGCAGGCCUAACACAUGCAAGUCGAGCGGAAACGAGUUAUCUGAACCUUCGGGGRACGAUAACGGCGUCGAGCGGCGGACGGGUGAGUAAUGCCUAGGAAAUUGCCCUGAUGUGGGGGAUAACCAUUGGAAACGAUGGCUAAUACCGCAUGAUGCCUWYGGGCCAAAGAGGGGGACCUUCGGGCCUCUCGCGUCAGGAUAUGCC
rnacentral:rRNA from 1 species